UUUUAUAUAUAGGAGUAUCUUUUCAUAUCUCGUGUAUAUUCUUUUGAUCAUUGUUUAAUAAGUAAUUCAUUUUCUUUCUUUUAAGUGUAGAAAGAUUUUACAAUAGGAUAUUUCAGAUGAUUCAUGUGGAUGGCCAGAAUUCUAACUCCUUUAAUGAAAUCUCAUGAUGCAUAUAUAUAUAAUCUCAUUCAUUACAUGUUUUUUUGUGUUUUUUCUUUCUGUUUAAAUACAAGUCUUAUCAUACCACAUUAGCUUUUAUCUCGUAACUCCAAAGUCCGAUACAAUACAUGUCACUCUCAACUUUGAUCAUGAAAGUUUAGAUUUUCUCGCAAUCAUUAUUCCAAUUAUUCCAAAUUGGACUCAAACAUAGAUGCUUUAUACUCGUCAGUUUACCACCACCUAAUCUUACCAGGUGAAAUGGAUAACCAUAACUUAGCUGCCGAGAAACAAAUGAGGUUAUCAAGAAUUGAUAAAGAAAUAUAUCUAGUGCUAGGAAGAACUAAGGACUACAAGUUUGAAACUCCAAGAAUAUGAACAAGUGAUUCAAAAAUUAAGUAUAAAUUAAUUACAUGUUUUUCUUAGCAAAAUAUAUAUAUACAUGUUUAAAUUCGUAUUUGAGUAACGAGUAAAAAUGACUAAU
rnacentral:sRNA from 1 species